AGUACAAAUGGAAGACAAAAAUUAGAUAUUGUGCAGAGAAGUAAAUGCCACAUUCCCUAUUUUUCCUUCAUUCCUUUGGUCUCUCUAACCUCUCAAACACUUGACUUCCACAAAAGUCUCUUUAGUAAAACCCCAUUUUCACUUUUUCCAUCUGCUUCAACAUUAUAUAGUCAGAACCUUCCAAAUAUUUCCAUUCAUCCCAAACCCCAAAUCCUACAGGAGAAAAAAAAAAUUAAAAAGACUAUCACGGCUUAAAUUGUUAAUCCAUUUUACUCCAAUCUGCCUUAAUGGUAAUGAACCCCUAAAUUAAAACUUAUUUCAAAACACACCAGCAAUAUUUGAAGAGAUUAAACCACCUCAAAAUCGAAACCCUAUUUAACCCAACACCAAAUUGAAAUCAAAUUCAAACUAAACCCCAUACUCCACAAAAAGAAAAACCAACUAAACAAGGCACAAACCACCUCAAAAUCGAAACCCUAUUUAACCCAACACCAAAUUGAAAAGCCAACUUACAGAAUAACUACACCGUAUCAUUAGAUAACUAAUUCGUGUUUAAAAGUGUGAGACUUGCAGAAUUACCGAAAUAGAUGAAUCUUGCUUGUCCUCAGUCAGCUUUAGUAAUACAUAAGGAUAUGCUCCUCCUAAAUGAAUCUUUCUUUUUGAGUUCUGUGGCUUUCAGAUACUUUACUGUUGUUCUCUUCCAGUUC
rnacentral:lncRNA from 1 species